GUGGUGAGAGACGAGUGGACGGCCGAAGUUUUUGAUCAAGAAUUGUUAAGGUAAAUUCAACUACUUCAUCUAAAAGUUUAUAGUGUUAGAUUCAUGUAAAUUAUUUUCUGAAAAGGGUAAGUUUUGUUUCCGGUCUAGUUUCUAGAACACUAGUUGAAUCACACCAUUUAAAAAUUUAAACCGGAAGAUAACAUUUUCAGGUACAAGAACAUUGAGGAGGAACUGGUGUCAAUGCUGCAUAUAGCAAUGGUUUGUGUAGUGCCACAGCCUGAGAAGAGGCCAACAAUGGGUGAAGUGGUUAAAAUGAUAGAGGAAAUAAGGGUGGAGCAAUCUCCAAUGGGAGAAGACUAUGAUGAAUCUCGAAAUUCCCUCUCCCCUUCACUUGCCACAACUGAUCAAGAUGCAUUGCCCUAACUCUAUAUUCUAGUUGGACAAGUAAUAUUCUGGUUUGCCAAUUCCAUUGCUUAUGGUAUGGACUGAGGACUUCCUUUUGAUUUUGAAUUAUAAUGUAAUUUAAUUUCUCUUUCAAGUGCUCAGUCACUUGCAGAUCAUGUUGAAUCAUGUUAAAUUUAGGGAUUGAAAUUGCGAUACCAACAUGUCGUGUUCGUGUCAAAGGAGUGUAUGUGAUCUACCACUAUAAGUAUUUAUUAGAAUUUAAAAAGAAUAUCUGUGCAAUAGUUCUUCUUAAACGUAAUCAAGUUGUUUCUCGUUGAUUUAUAUGUAAAUUACUCAUGUUUGAUUCUAAUUGUUGAAAAUUAU
rnacentral:lncRNA from 1 species